CCCUUAGAUGUUCUGGGCUGCACGCGCGCUACACUGAAGCUAUCAACACGUUUUCCCUCCCUGAGAAGGGCGGGUAACCUUUUGAAUCAGCUUCGUGGUAGGGAUCGGGGCUUGCAAUUGUUCCCCGUGAACCAGGAAUUCCUAGUAGACGCGAGUCAUAAGCUCGCAUCGAUUAAGUCCCUGCCCUUUGUACACACCGCCCGUCGCUACUACCGAUUGAGCGUUUUAGUGAGGCAUUUGGACCGACGCAUCUCAGUUUAACCGCUGGUUUGUGUUGGAAAGACUUCCAAACUUGAGCGUUUAGAGGAAGUAAAAGUCGUAACA
rnacentral:rRNA from 1 species